UACGUAGGGGGCAAGCGUUGUCCGGAAUCAUUGGGCGUAAAGCGCGUGUAGGCGGUUCGGUAAGUCUGCUGUGAAAGUCCAGGGCUCAACCCUGGGAUGCCGGUGGAUACUGUCGGACUAGAGUACGGAAGAGGCGAGUGGAAUUCCCGGUGUAGCGGUGAAAUGCGCAGAUAUCGGGAGGAACACCUGCGGCGAAGGCGGGUUGCUGGGCUGACACUGACGCUGAGGCGCGAAAGCCAGGGGAGCGAACGGG
rnacentral:rRNA from 1 species